rnacentral:lncRNA from 1 species
GUUAGGUCCGGUUAUUAAUGUAGUUACCUAUAUUAGGUGCCGUUUGAUUUCCGUGAUCCCUCUAGCUUUGCUUGGUUGUUAUUCAAGACUUCUAAGCACCCUCAAGAUGUUUUUGCAGUGUACCAUAGUUGGUGAUGUUUGAUGAUGAUAUUGAUGCAUACUCACAUAGGAACGGACGAGGCCUUAGUGACUUAAUAACAAUGAAAGUCUAUUUGUUCAUGUUUUGU